rnacentral:rRNA from 1 species
ACAGCAGCAGCCGCGGUAAUACGUAGGCGGCAAGCGUUGUCCGGAAUUAUUGGGCGUAAAGCGCGCGCAGGUGGUUUAAUAAGUCUGAUGUGAAAGCCCACGGCUCAACCGUGGAGGGUCAUUGGAAACUGUUAAACUUGAGUGCAGGAGAGAAAAGUGGAAUUCCUAGUGUAGCGGUGAAAUGCGUAGAGAUUAGGAGGAACACCAGUGGCGAAGGCGGCUUUUUGGCCUGUAACUGACACUGAGGCGCGAAAGCGUGGGGAGCAAACAGGAUUAGAUACCCCAGUAGUCCCUGUCUCUUAUAC